AGCUCCAAUAGCGUAUAUUAAAGUUGCUGCAGUUAAAAAGCUCGUAGUUGCAUUUCCGAGGCAAGGGAUUAGUCCGACCUUUGGUGGGUAUUUAAUCCUCUUGCCUCGUCCUUGAGUGGUGCUUCUUGGUAUUAAGUUAUCGAGGAGAUAGCCGCUCAUCGUUUACUGUGAGAAAAUUAGAGUGUUCAAAGCAGGCUUAUGCCGUUGAAUAUAUUAGCAUGGAAUAAUAAGAUAGGACCUCGGUACUAUUUUGUUGGUUUGAGAACCAAGGUAAUGAUGAAUAGGGACAGUUGGGGGUAUUCGUAUUCAGUUGUCAGAGGUGAAAUUCUUAGAUUUACGGAAGACGAACUACUGCGAAAGCAUUUACCAAGGAUGGUGUCA
rnacentral:rRNA from 1 species